ensembl:lncRNA
ACAAGACUGUUACAGUUAAUUUCAAGGCAAGCAUAUUGUCUCUUGGAGGCUGGUGAGCGGGUCAUAAAUUAUCCUGAAGGUGAAGGAGAACUCGAGGGAAACAGUUAUGAAAAUUUCAUCAAUCUCAGCCGCACACCACAGCUGGUCCUGUCAGCGGCCGCAUUGUGGAGGAGCAGCGCUGGGUGGAGGGUCAAAGCUGGGGAGCGGCGAGGGCCGAGGGGGGCCUGUCACAUCCUGCUACUGCUCUCUGUCACAGAGCGAACUCACACACUGGCUAUUAUUGUAGCGCUGGGCAGAGAUCCACACAGGCAAUCUUCAGCCUGUCCUACUCUAUUAAUUUACUUAAAGCAUGCUCUGUGGUCAAGACCUCUUCCUUUCAUCAGCUUGUGUGAACGUGUGUGUGUGUGUGUGUGUGUGUGGGAGAUCAUUACCAGCUUUAGUACUCACUUUGUGCUAUGUCAUACUUUAGCACAAAGCUUCUGUGUGAGAUUAUAAAUGUCUGUUUGUGGUGGUAAGAAAGGUCAUGAGAGAGAGAGAUAAGAGAGAGUUGUCUAAUAGAGAUCUUUGAAUAAAUAAAUCUCCUGCGUGCUCUGAGAUCAGCACACAAACUGAGAGAGACACUAUGAUGAGCUAAUGUUAGCUGGACAUCAUAUUACUUUUUGACACUUUUUAAUGAUGAAAAAAGGAAAACAUAGAGUAUAGGAUUGAGGAAUGUUGCAAGCCAGACUCAAACCUGCAUUGCCCACAUGAAAAACACAUGGAUUCGCUACAGGAGUCACAUUUUAUUAUGGAUACGCACACUUUAUUUGACGACUUGUGGACUGUUCAACUGCAACACCCGCUGACUGCAAUAAUAGAGCUUGGAAUAGCCAGGACAAUUUUUUAUAUAACUCCGACUGGAUUCAUCUGAAGAAGAAAGUUUUAUACACUUAGGAUGCCUCGAGGUCAUACAUCAGCGUUCGUGCUCGUCCUCUCGCUGCAGCCACAGACGGACACUGAGGUGUGUGAGCGGCUCGUCUCAUCAGGUGUGAACACCGUCUUCCAUCCCUCAAUCUGUCAAUUAGUGCGGCUGCAGAUCAGAGGAGAGGGAGUGUGGGCCUUUGAUAGUGGGCAGAACGGCCCGUCACACAAGAGAACAGGGCGGAACAGAGCUGACAAGGCUUUUUUUUACUUGUCUUCCUCUUUUGUGAGGGAUUUUUUUGAAAGUUCUAGAAUGUUUUAGUAUAAAACAUGUUUAGGGUAGUGAAUAUCUUUUACAUUAACCUGACAGGCUAAUUACAGUACGUAACCUGUUCUCUCAUUUCAGACUUCCUGAUUGUCAUUGUCUAACAUAGUGAAGUGUCUCUCAGUAAAAGCUAUCUGCACUGUGUUCCAAAUUAUUAUGCAAGUGACAUAUCAAUAGGAUUUCGGUACAAUAAAGACCCAGAUUUUUGUUUGUGUUGUUUUUCACAUCUUUUUAGAUAACUGGUAUCAAUCUCAGACAGGUUUGGUCAAUAGUUUGCCAGGUCUUCUUAGAUAAAUGGAAACCCUACUUAAAGAGGUUGUUCCACAGGUUGUUAUCUAAAAAGAUGUAAAAAACAACACAAACAAAAAUCUGACUCAUUAUGGCACCGAAAUCCUAUUGAUAUGCCACUUGCAUAAUAAUUUGGAACGCAGGGUAUAAGAUACCCAUGUGUGAUGUGUGAUUUGGCGAAUGACCUUCUGUGUUUGGGGCUCCGUCUGGGUCUUAGCGAAAGCCGUCUCCUCCAUAAGACUGGCACGUUUUGGCACCUCGGACAGACGCAUAAACAGAUGCAGUCUCUGUUAGUAAUGACAGGUGAUUAUAUGUGGCAGCAGUGCCAAGGCAAUUAAACGGCGGGCUGACGGCACCAUUUGGCAUGCUGUUAUCCUAGCGUUAAGGCUAAUUGUGGCAGCAAUUUCACUCCUGCCAGGACACUGCUUCGAACAUCGUUAAUUUUACACCAAUACAUGUCGUCUGGAGGUGAAUGCUGGCUCUCUGAGGCUUCCUCAAUUCAGGGUGGGAUCAGACACGGUGAAGUAAUUACCCAGCAUUUCAUGAUUAUAAUCAGUCUAACUGUUCUCUGUGGCGAUGUUCCUCUUCGCGUUUCUCUUCUUUCUAAGGCCACUGCUCAAAUUUGCAAGGCAGUUUGAAAAUAUUGGAACACUAUUGGAGGUUUGAGGUAUAUGAAUGUCAGGGUUAAGUUCAAAUCGAUUCCAAACAGACAUCAUUAUACACUGGAGAAUGAAGACCUUCAACCUUCAUCUGGACAAACAAUCAUUCAGUGGAAAAAACACGUGUCACACGUGAUGUCCCUCAGAAUUUUGAGCCAAUUGGAUUUAUUUAGUAUAAAAAAAAAAAAAACAUUUUAAACCUGGUAAAACUGUUUUCAUUUCAUUUCAACUUAUAGAACUACACCCUUGUUAAAAAAAAGUGUGCUUUAUUUUAUUGAAUGUC